rnacentral:siRNA from 1 species
AGAGGUCUCCUUUGUCGAUGAGUC